rnacentral:sRNA from 1 species
GAUGCCAGGGUCAAAAGGUCUAAACCCACAUGAGCUUGCUCAUAGGUGGGUGAAAGACUUUGUGCCCCGCCCCGAUAUGAGCAUAAAAGUGGGAUGUUAAUCCCACGAUAUGCGAAUAUUGGGCAGGAUUGUGGGAGCACGUAGUGCGGAGCAAUCCGUAGGCAUC